UCCAUUAUAUAUUAAAUAAUGAUUGUGUAUGCAAAUGUCAAUGGUUGGUAACGCCCAUAAUAUGAAUAUUCAUGAGCUUGACUGCCCAUAUUAUCCUCUAUUCCAGGCACCUUUCCAUUUUGUGUUCUUUGUGUAUUCUUAUCAGAAAUCCUACGUGCGGUAAAUAAGUCUCUGUAUCACUAUUCUCCUUCUUAUUUGAAUGCAAAUUUGGGUAUAAUGAUCGAUAACUGUAAUCAUCCUCAUUAUUUUAAUAAGAAAUUUUCUAUCUGUGAUGAAAGUUUUUAUGUACGAUUGCCUGAUCUGAAGAAAAGACUUUCGCUGCAUGCAUAUUUAAUGUAUGACGUCACCCACACAGAGUGAGAGUUCGAGGUUUUCUUUGAAAGUUUGAUGGAGAAUGUACAGAGACUUGUCGCAGUUAAUGCAGUACCAAAUGCUUGCUUUCUUGGAGUAUGUGUUGAAACAAGAAUGUCCUGGAGAAAACAGACCACCACAAGAGAAGACAUACAUGUACAGUAUGGACUAUGAAGUUCUACUUAGCCUCUUCAAUGAACUGCUGGAGCUGCGACUGGGUAUCAAAACCUUGGUAUUAUAAACCUCAUAACAAGUGGCGGAGAUAUGUUGUUAGCCAGGGGGGAGGGGUCAGUGCCCCCCCCCCCCUCCCCCACUUUUUCAAGUACCCCCUAAAUGCCUCUUUUAUGUUCGUUUCACAUAGGUAAAGUGCCAUAUUACUUUGACAAGUUCCCCUAUUAAUUUGUAAAAGUGCCCCUUCCCCAUCUCACCUCCGAUAAGUGCCCCUUAUCCUUCGACAAGUUCACAUUAUUCUUUGCAAUAAGUGUUCAUUUUCCAUUCUCAUAAGUGCCCUUUUCAAUCUCUAGUAAGUGCCCCUUUUCAACUACGUGAAAUGCCCCUUUUCACUUUUGA